rnacentral:rRNA from 1 species
UACCAUGCAGUCGAGCGGUAAGGCCCUUCGGGGUACACGAGCGGCGAACGGGUGAGUAACACGUGGGUGAUCUGCCUCGUACUCUGGGAUAAGCCUGGGAAACUGGGUCUAAUACCGGAUAUGACCACGAAUCGCAUGGUUUGUGGUGGAAAGAUUUAUCGGUGCGAGAUGGGCCCGCGGCCUAUCAGCUUGUUGGUGGGGUAAUGGCCUACCAAGGCGACGACGGGUAGCCGACCUGAGAGGGUGACCGGCCACACUGGGACUGAGACACGGCCCAGACUCCUACGGGAGGCAGCAGUGGGGAAUAUUGCACAAUGGGCGGAAGCCUGAUGCAGCGACGCCGCGUGAGGGAUGACGGCCUUCGGGUUGUAAACCUCUUUCGACAGGGACGAAGCGCAAGUGACGGUACCUGUAGAAGAAGCACCGGCCAACUACGUGCCAGCAGCCGCGGUAAUACGUAGGGUGCGAGCGUUGUCCGGAAUUACUGGGCGUAAAGAGCUUGUAGGCGGUUCGUCGCGUCGAUUGUGAAAACUUGCAGCUCAACUGCAAGCUUGCAGUCGAUACGGGCGGACUAGAGUACUUCAGGGGAGACUGGAAUUCCUGGUGUAGCGGUGAAAUGCGCAGAUAUCAGGAGGAACACCGGUGGCGAAGGCGGGUCUCUGGGAAGUAACUGACGCUGAGAAGCGAAAGCGUGGGUAGCGAACAGGAUUAGAUACCCUGGUAGUCCACGCCGUAAACGGUGGGUACUAGGUGUGGGUUUCCUUCCACGGGAUCCGUGCCGUAGCUAACGCAUUAAGUACCCCGCCUGGGGAGUACGGCCGCAAGGCUAAAACUCAAAGGAAUUGACGGGGGCCCGCACAAGCGGCGGAGCAUGUGGAUUAAUUCGAUGCAACGCGAAGA